GUGCCAGCAGCCGCGGUAAUACGUAGGGAGCAAGCGUUGUCCGGAUUCACUGGGUGUAAAGGGUGCGCAGGCGGAUCGGUAAGUCAGAGGUGAAAUCUCACAGCUCAACUGUGAAACUGCCUUUGAUACUGCUGAUCUUGAGUUAGGGAGAGGUUGAUGGAAUUCCAGGUGUAGCGGUGAAAUGCGUAGAUAUCUGGAAGAACACCAGUGGCGAAGGCGGUCAACUGGCCCUAAACUGACGCUCAUGCACGAAAGCGUGGGGAUCAAACAGGAUUAGAUACCCCCGUAGUCC
rnacentral:rRNA from 1 species